rnacentral:rRNA from 1 species
CCAAUAGCGUAUAUUAAAGUUGUUGCAGUUAAAAAGCUCGUAGUUGAAUUUUAGGCCUGACCGGACGGUCCGUCUCUGGCGAGUACUGUUCUGCUGUCGGGUCUAUCCUUCUGGUGAGCCGGUAUGCCCUUUAUUGGGUGUGUCGGGGAACCAGGACCAUUACCUUGAAAAAAUUAGAGUGUUUAAAGCGGGCUUUUGCUUGAAUAGAUUAGCAUGGAAUAAUAGAAUAGGACGUUGGUUCUAUUUUGUUGGUCUAGGACCACCGUAAUGAUUAAUAGGGAUAGUUGGGGGCAUUAGUAUUCAAUUGUCAGAGGUGAAAUUCUUGGAUUUAUUGAAGACUAACUACUGCGAAAGCAUUUGCCAAGGAUGUUUUCAUUAAUCAAGAACGAAAGUUAGGGGAUCGAAGACGAUCAGAUACCGUCGUAGUCUUAACCAUAAACGAUGCCGACUAGGAAUCGGGCGACGUUAUUUUCAUGACUCGCUCGGCGCCUUAUGGGAAACCAAAGUGUUUGGNUUC